UACGGAGGGUGCAAGCGUUAUCCGGAUUCACUGGGUUUAAAGGGUGCGUAGGCGGUUUGGUAAGUCCGUGGUGAAAUCUCUAAGCUUAACUUGGAGACUGCCAUGGAUACUAUUAGUCUUGAAUAUUGUGGAGGUUAGCGGAAUAUGUCAUGUAGCGGUGAAAUGCAUAGAUAUGACAUAGAACACCAAUUGCGAAGGCAGCUGGCUACACAAAUAUUGACGCUGAUGCACGAAAGCGUGGGGAGCAAACAGG
rnacentral:rRNA from 1 species